UACGUAGGGUGCAAGCGUUGUCCGGAAUUAUUGGGCGUAAAGAGCUCGUAGGCGGUCUGUCGCGUCGGAUGUGAAAACCCAGGGCUCAACCCUGGGCCUGCAUUCGAUACGGGCAGACUAGAGUUCGGUAGGGGAGACUGGAAUUCCUGGUGUAGCGGUGAAAUGCGCAGAUAUCAGGAGGAACACCCGUAGCGAAGGCGGCGCUCUGGGCCGGUACUGACGCUGAGGAGCGAAAGCGUGGGGAGCAAACAGG
rnacentral:rRNA from 1 species